UACCAGCACCCCGAGUGGUCGGGACGUUUAUUGGGCCUAAAGCCUCCGUAGCCGGUUCUACAAGUCUUCCGUUAAAUCCAACUGCUUAACAGGUGGGCUGCGGAAGAUACUAUAGAGCUAGGAGGCGGGAGAGGCAAGCGGUACUCGAUGGGUAGGGGUAAAAUCCGUUGAUCCAUUGAAGACCACCAGUGGCGAAGGCGGCUUGCCAGAACGCGCUCGACGGUGAGGGAUGAAAGCUGGGGGAGCAAACCGG
rnacentral:rRNA from 1 species